UAUCUCUGCUAGCUGUUUCAUGGGGCAAGGAAAAGAGGUUGCAAAUAGCCUUCCGUUCAGGGAAUAGAACUCUCUGGAAAAUGAAGCAUGAACAGAGCAAUGAAGGUGGAAUAUAGGCUGUGAUAGACAUUUGAGUAGCUUCAUAAAAUGAACGCUAAGCAGAGCCUGGCAUCUCAUUCAGCAUAGGAUUAGAGAGAAAYUGGAACUUCAAAGGCAAAGCCCCUCAUUUCUGUGAAUCCUCAACACCUGGCCUGUGGAGGAGUGGCCUAGAUUUAUAUUAAGGAGAAUUUCCUGGACAAUCUUCAUUCAAAGCAUUGACUUUGCUCAGUCUUUCCAGUCACUUACCCGUCAUACAAGGCUAACUUUGAUAAAAUCUCCAGAUGGCAUGGUACUUCAGCGAGGUCUCUGCCUGGGUUCCAAGUGCAAAACAAAGUUGCUCGUGAGUCAUACCAACAAGUUAGAUUGGAGGUAUCUGCCAGUGGAGUAGAGACGGACAGUAACACGGAUGAAUCAGCA